rnacentral:lncRNA from 1 species
UGGUGGAAGAGGAGAGGCUUGCACUGGCUUCUCACUCCCAGGCUCCGCAGCAGGAGCUCCAGGAAUAGGGUAAGGAGGAUAAAGAGGAUAUGGAAAAUCAGGACCAGUGGGAUACGACAUAUGUGGAAAAGGAGGUGGAUGAUAAGGUACAGCGUGCAUGGGGUAAGCAGCAGCAGCAGGAGGAGGAGGAGUGGGGCCAGUUUGGUUGCUCUUCGAGCCUGGCUUUGAAUAACGGCCAGGUGGAUUCUUGUGCGCAGGGUUAGCCUUUCCACCAGCCUUAGAUUUAGCAUGACCAGUUACUACAGCCUACAGAUCAAACAAUAAACUUAAAACAAACUCAAUGCUAAAGGCGCGUGAAUCACAGACGACGUGAACUUUUAAAAACGUCAUAAAGCAUCAUGGAUCAAAUUCGAUAAGAGCUUGUUCGAUCAAGUUUCGCAAAGCUUAUAGGUUUAUUGAAUGACCUGAGAAGGAUUUGAGAUUGAGGUCGGAAUGGAUUUAGCCGCCGCCGCCGGAGGAGGAGGAGGAUUCUUAGGACGGGGUUGUUGCGCGUCGGCGAGGGCAGGCCACGAGUGAGCACCCAUUACCGGUGCGUCGGCGGGCUCUAUCGGAGCUGUUUUCCACGGAGACUUAGUCUCGGAGCCAGUGACGUGGCCGAUCAUUUCUCGAUCAUCGGCUAAUGAUCUCUCGGUCUCCGCCAUGAUCAGAAGCUCGAUUGAAUUGGAUCAGAGGCAAUGUGAUAAAAGAGAGAGCCGGGAAGCAAAAAAGUAUGCAAAGGAGGGAGUGUGGGUGUGUGUUUUGGGUGGCGCUUUUAAGAGUAAUACCGUAAAACACUUGACAGCAAAACCCUAGUUCCACAAUUCUUUUUAAUUCAAUUAUUAUCCUUUUUGUGAUUUUAAUAGAAAAUGCAUUGUUCUUUUUCGUGACGGUACAUUUAAUUGUACAUUUAAUGUCAUAUUUAUUUUGUUUCUUGGACAUGAAAUUUCAUUGUUCUUUAGUAUGACAACAAUUUUAAAUUUAUUACUCCCUCCGUUUUUUAAUAUAAGUCGUUUUACAGCUAUGCACGUAGAUUAAGAAAACCAUUAAUUUCUUAUAUUUUCUAAACAAAAACAUCAUUAAUUAUUUACCUAACCACAAUUUAACCAAUAGAAAAAUAGAAGAUAUAUUACUAUUGGUCAUACAACAUUAAUUAUUAAUAAAUUUUACAUAGAAAACCGAAAACGACAUAUAAUUUGGCUCUCUGCCCUUCGUCUCUUCAAAUCAUUAGUGAGACUUGUUUUCUUUAUGGCUGGUGAUUGGAUCCUUUGCUCGGAAGUCGGCUAUGCUACGGUAUUCUUCCUUCAGUAGCUUCUCUAGAUCAGGAUGCUUCCUUAUGGUUGGUUCUUUUUGGCCUCGAUAGUGGUGGAAGGCCCUGCAGAAGAGAUAAUUUCUUAAGAGACAUCACCAACGAUCAACCAAUUGUCUAUAAACAAAAAAGAGAGCCCUUACCAAUAUUUCUCCAAGCCGUAUAGGUUUCCCUUAUGGUAGAAGUCAAGCGUUAGCUGCUCGAAGUCCUUGUAAAGGUCCUCUUCGAAUUGCUUCUCCAGACCAUAACUAAAGACAUAGAGCAGCAAGUUGGUGAGAUUGGGUUUGAACUAGAGAGCUUAUCAGAUGGAAAACGGAUGAAGGUAUUACCUAUAAAACCUGAAGAGACACUCCAACCCAUAGUUGUAGUUGCCAGCUGCAUCCUCAAGAGCAAACUUCUGGAAAUCCUCAUACAUAGACGGGACAAACGUUUCUCUGAGGAAAUAGGACCAAAACCGGUACAAAUGAUUCAUUUCCUGAAAACAGAACAGCCAAAAUUGAGACACAUUUCCAAGAAUUAUCUCUCAUAAGAGACCAAGGUGAAAGCAUGGUUUACCUCACUGCAUCCGCUCCCCAGCUUCUUUCUAUCAUUUAAGCACCGCUUGCGAUACUUCAAGUACCUAUGGGAAAGAAAAAGAAAUGAGAUUAGAAGAUCUUCUCUCACAAAAGUAAUGCUCCAUAACAAUAAACUCAAGUAGUAUAACCGAAUAACUAUACUCACUUUUCUUGUUUGAACCCAUUGUCUUCCAGCAGUUGGUGGCUGGGAUGUUGAAAAGGUGGAAAUGAUUUUGGUAAAGACCCCACAGGUGGACUGCUGCCAGAAAGAGAGCAUUGUGGUGACGAGCUCAACUUUGAAAGCCUCUGGCUGUAAACCGUCACACAAACAAAAUUAUUAAAAAUGAAAAGGCAGAUUAAAAUUAAGAAUAAGUUGGGAAUAUCAUGGAAUUGCUAGGAUACUGACCCAGGAUUGUCUGGUGGUGUAGAACCAAAGAAGAACCCAAUGGAGCUACUAGGCGGACUUUCUGAAGUAUGAGAACUGAGACUAGCCCCAUGGUUUCUCAUGUUGCCCGAGAAGAACCUCCGUGCAUGUGCCGUAUGGUGUUUGUGGGCUCCCUUACUCUGCUUCCUCCUAAUGCUAUGCUCUUCACUUCCACCGUUAGCAGCAGAAUUUUCGCCUAAUUUAGUGUUCAAUCCUCCCCCAGCUUUUACUUUUCCGUCUCUGUUAUCCAAAUGGGAAAUGUUCUUCCUACGACCAGAUCGAUUCUUUUUGAGCUCCUGUUUCAUCAGAUUGGUGUUUAGAAACUAGACUCUAGAAAAGGUACAAUCAUAUCAUUUUGUCAACGAAAAGCCUAACCUGCUCAAAGUAGUAUAGACCAUCGUUUAUUGUGGAGGCAAGCUCCUUGGGAAUGUUUUUGGCUUUUGUUCCACUGAUUCCAGUGCCAUCACUUCUUCCACUAUUCUGUCCAGCAUACAAUGAAACAUGAAGACUUAGUUCCACCAACAAAGUGUUCAAGUAUAGAGGCAACAAGUUCCAUCAGUGUAAUACCUGGGUAACAAUCACAAGUUUCUGAAUAUCAUGAUCAUCAACAGCAAUAUCUUCGUCUUCAUCAUCAAUCCUACAGAAAUUCAAAGAACCCAAAGCAUUAAUUCCAAAACCUUUAUAUGAAGUUUCAGGUUCACAUUUAUAGGAAGCAAUAUUUAAAAACAAAGAGGGAUGAAGCAAUAUCAACAAUAAUCAAGACGUGCACACACUACCUUUUGGACAUGGAAAGACCACUCUUUCUUGGGCUUUUAUGCUCCAGAUCCAUUUCCUCAUCAAGCAAGAAUGUGUUUGAAAAAUCGCUUGACAAGACAUCCAUCUUUCUUUGUUCGUCUGAUAAUGAUUUCCGAUUAUCACUUUUGGUUCUUGAUGACUGAGCUCCCUGUACCACAAACGGAAAAGCUAUCAACUUGAACGAAAAGUUGGCAGUUUUCUAAUUAAAGGAAAAAAGGCUCUACCUCUGAAGAGAACGCAGUAGGCUUUAAAGAGUUUUUAAAGUUAUCUUUGCUUGUUACACUCUCUGAGGAAUCUUUGUCAUUGUCUCCAAUUUUCUCCUCAGAGGCCGACUUUUUAGAUGCAGGAACCCACUUAGACCACUCGUCACGCUUUCGUAUCUUGUCACCCUAUAAAACACCAACACUUCAACAGAAUUAGAAAAUCCCAACGUCUGAUUAUUACUAACACAAGCAAGAUGGCUUACGGUAGUCAGACCUGCACUUCAACAGAAGUAGAAAAUCUCAACGCAUAGACUAUAAACUCUACAUCCAUGGUCAUCAUCUUAACCUGUAAUUCAAGAGUAAGAAUACAGAAAUUAAAAGCAACACAUUUGUGUAAAAUGCAGAUGACAAAACAGAGUAAUGCACAGCAAGACAAGCUUAUGUUACGAGUUUUACCCUUUUGAAGUCAGCAAUGAUUUUGAUGGGAACCCAUCCUUGUUCAUCCAUUAAGGAAAUGAGGUACUGAUCAUUCUGAAGGUUUUCGUCACUGAAAAAAGGAAUCAAUAUACGGAAGGUGACAUGCUAUUAACCAUCAAAGAUGAACUCAAGGCAUGGAGAAAGUAUUAAAAGCACAAAAUAUAUAGAUGUAGACGCAUAACUUGCCUGAAGUAAUAUUCAAUUUGUUUUAUGACUCUAUCCUUUAAGUCGAGUUGUUCUGGAGACAGAGCUUGAGGACCCUGGUUACCAGGAUAUGGACCAAAGCGUGGAGGAUAGCCUCUUAUAGCUCCAGGGGGUGGACCCGGCAAGUAGUACACAGGACCUAUGUCAAAUGAAGAAACAAAAAAAAAUAUAUAGCAAUUUAGUUAUUAUCCUCUAGAUAUGCUCAACCUGUCCCUUGAGAGAGAAUCAACAUCUUACCGGGAAAGCCAGGACCAGGACCAACCAUGAACCCAGGACCUUGCCCCAUAUACGGAGGUCUCACAAAGUUCCUAGGUCCACCAGCAGGUCCAUGCGGCAUGUUUCUUGGGCCAAAACCCCUCUGAUGCUGUCUAGGCUCCCCUUGAGGAGGAGGUGGUGGAAGAGGAGAGGCUUGCACUGGCUUCUCACUCCCAGGCUCCGCAGCAGGAGCUCCAGGAAUAGGGUAAGGAGGAUAAAGAGGAUAUGGAAAAUCAGGACCAGUGGGAUACGACAUAUGUGGAAAAGGAGGUGGAUGAUAAGGUACAGCGUGCAUGGGGUAAGCAGCAGCAGCAGGAGGAGGAGGAGUGGGGCCAGUUUGGUUGCUCUUCGAGCCUGGCUUUGAAUAACGGCCAGGUGGAUUCUUGUGCGCAGGGUUAGCCUUUCCACCAGCCUUAGAUUUAGCAUGACCAGUUACUACAGCCUACAGAUCAAACAAUAAACU